GUGAGGAAUAUUGCGCAAUGGGCGAAAGCCUGACGCAGCGACGCCGCGUGGAGGAUGAAGGUCUUCGGAUUGUAAACUUCUGUUAAGUGGGAAGAAAGGGCUGCUUUUAAUAGAAGCAGUUAAUGACGGUACCAUUAAAGAAAGCACCGGCUAAACUCGUGCCAGCAGCCGCGGUAAUACGAGUGGUGCAAGCGUUAUUCGGAAUAAUUGGGCGUACAGGGUGUGUAGGCGGUAUGUUAAGUCUGUUGUUAAAGACUCCGGCCUAACCGGAGACAGGCAGCGGAAACUGGCGUACUAGAGGGUGGAAGAGAGAAGUGGAAUUCUCGGUGUAGCGGUAAAAUGCGUAGAUAUCGAGAGGAACACCGAUGGCGAAGGCAGCUUCUUGGUCCAUACCUGACGCUGAAACACGAAAGCGUGGGGAGCAAACAGGAUUAGAAACCCUGGUAGUCC
rnacentral:rRNA from 1 species